GAAAUGCGAUAACUAGUGUGAAUUGCAGAAUUCCGUGAAUCAUCGAGUCUUUGAACGCACAUUGCGCCCCCUGGUAUUCCGGGGGGCAUGCCUGUCCGAGCGUCAUUGCUGCCCAUCAAGCACGGCUUGUGUGUUGGGUCGUCGUCCCCUCUCCGGGGGGGACGGGCCCCAAAGGCAGCGGCGGCACCGCGUCCGAUCCUCGAGCGUAUGGGGCUUUGUCACCCGCUCUGUAGGCCCGGCCGGCGCUCGCCGAACGCAAAUCAAUCUUUUUCCAGGUUGACCUCGGAUCAGGUAGGGAUACCCGCUGAACUUAAGC
rnacentral:misc_RNA from 1 species